rnacentral:rRNA from 1 species
AGCAGCCGCGGUAAUUCCAGCUCCAAUAGCGUAUAUUAAAGUUGUUGCAGUUAAAAAGCUCGUAGUUGAAUUUCGGGGUCAGUAGGUCGGUCGUGCCACUGGUAUGAACUGGUUUUACUGAUUCCUCCCUCUUGAAGAACUGUAAUGCCAUUAAUUUGGUGUUGCAGGGAAUCAGGACUGUUACUUUGAAAAAUUAGAGUGUUUAAAGCAGGCUUUAGCUUGAAUACAUUAGCAUGGAAUAAUGAAAUAGGACGUUUGAUCCUAUUUUGUCGGUUUCUAGGAUUGACGUAAUGAUUAAUAGGGAUAGUUGGGGGCAUUAGUAUUCAAUUGUCAGAGGUGAAAUUCUUGGAUUUAUUGAAGACUAACUACUGCGAAGGCAUUUGCCAAGGAUGUUUUCAUUAAUCAAGAACGAAAGUUAGGGGAUCGAAGACGAUCAGAUACCGUCGUAGUCUUAACCAUAAACUAU